AGGGAUGUAGCGCAACUUGGUUUGUUUUGGGUACAAAAUGUCACGGAUUCAAAUCCUGUCAUCCCUA
rnacentral:tRNA from 1 species